GACGAGGGGUCCUAGCGUUGUUCGGAAUCAUUGGGCGUAAAGCGUAUGUAGGUGGCUUUGUAAGUCAGGUGUGAAAGCCCAGGGCUCAACCCUGGAAGUGCACUUGAUACUGCGAAGCUUGAGUGCUGGAGAGGAUAGUGGAAUUCCUGGUGUAGUGGUGAAAUACGUAGAUAUCAGGAGGAAUACCGGUGGCGAAGGCGGCUAUCUGGCCAUGCACUGACACUGAGAUGCGAAAGUGUGGGGAUCAAACAGG
rnacentral:rRNA from 1 species